UUUCCGUAGGUGAACCUGCGGAGGGAUCAUUAUUGUAUAACAUAACUGCGAGGCCUGUCGCUAACCCGAUAGGUCGUGCACCCCCGAGUGCCCUCACACGCGGCCAUCGCACCCCUUUUUGGACCACCGCUUGGAACCCGCUGAGGCAUGUGCGUGUGGUGACUGACCUUUUCAAACAAUCUUCGAAUGCAGUGUAGGCUGUAUUUUUUGUGUUUACGGCCGCACAAUGAAUACAACUUUCAACAACGGACCGCUUCGCUCUCGCAUCGAGUAAGAACG
rnacentral:misc_RNA from 1 species